ACUUCUGUACAGGCUGUGGCCAUGCGCUGUUUGGAAAAACUCAGACUCCCUGCCCUACUCAGUGGUCAGAAACUUCCACUGUUGUUUUUCUUUUGAAGGUUACCACCUUUGCAAUUAUCUUUUGAGUGUCUGCUGCAGAGAAGUCCCUAGGCUUAGGCACAGGGGAUAAAAAAAGAUUCCGGCACUCAAGAGCUUACAGAAGAGGAAAGAAAAUGGUGCCCAAGAAAUGAAACUAUGGUUUUUCAGUAGUCAUGUAUGGAUGUGAGAGUCGGACUAUAAAGAAGGCUGAGUGCUGAAGAAUUAACACCUUCAAAUUGUGGUUCUGGAGAAGACUCUUGAGAGCCCCUUGGACUGCAAGGAGAUCAAACCAGUCAACCCCAAAGGAAAUCAACCCUGAAUAUUCAUUGGAAGGACUGAUGCUGAAGCUCAAGCUCUAAUACUUUGGCCAGCUGAUAUGAAGAGCUGACUCAUUGGAAAAGACCCCGAUGUUGGGAAAGAUUGAAGGCAAAAAGAGAAGAGGGAGGCAGAAGAUGAAAUGGUUAGAUAGCUCAAUGGACAUGAAUCUGAGCAAACUCUGGGAGAUAGUGAAGGACAGGGGUGCAGUCCAUGCGGUUGCAGAGUCGGACACAACUUAGUGACUGAACAACAACAAAACAACAACCCCAGAAAUGAAGCACAUAUCUCUGAGUAAACAUCAGUAGAAACUGUCUGUUUCAUUUCUUAUGCAAUGAUGAGAAAGGAUCUUAAACUGUGUAAAAUACGUCUUUCUAAUACAACCUGAUAUGAGAGAGAUCAAUAGAAAGGGAUUUUAAAGAUCAGGGUACAGUUUUGGUGUUAAAAAAAACUGGCAAUAGCAACUAUUUCCUGGUAAUAGAUCCAAUUUAUCUUUCUUGAAAAUGACAACAGGCACUAUUAUAGGGCAAAGGGACUUCAGAAAAUUUUCUAUAAAAUUUGCUGUUUGUGACAGAGCAGUUUUUCUAUGCAGAAAAAAAAUACAAGAUAUUUCUCAGGUGGAGGUAAUGUCAUGGACCGUGGCAUACACAUAUUAAUUAGGGUUACAAUUAGUGUGUGAUCAUAAUAACACACUUGGUUAUUGGUGUGUUUGAAUUGGUGUGUAAACUAAUUGGUUUGAAUUAGAAGUGUUCAUUUGAUAAGUAAAUAUCUGGAGCUGAGUGGCAACAAGUAUGUAUUUAACUUUGACCUUGAAUUGAACUUGAUGACAAACAACAAAACAGAAUAACAGAGAGAAGAGUGGAGGCAAAAGAAGGCUUGCAUAACAGAGAGUGAGGGAUAAUAGCAGAGAAUUCACAGAGUAGAUUUGUGGAACAAAAGGUAGACAGACAAAGAUGACUAG
ensembl:lncRNA